CGUGACAGUGACGAGUUGCACUAGUAGUCGGGUUGCUGAAUGCAGUGGCACAGCAGACCUGUCCCGACAGCCCGUGGUGACAACUGAUGUGCACAGGGGCCAUCUGAGUCAAU
rnacentral:snoRNA from 1 species